GGCUUUUCUCCCCUAUUCCGAUGGAAUGUGUCCCCGGAAGCUGAUACUUCGCCAUUUUUUUUUUUUUUUUUUUUUUUUUUUUGUCUCUUAACAGGCGGGCUGAGGAAGUUGCCUCUCUCUGGCGCCUGCAUUCAAUGAACGUUUGUAAUGUUAGCAGGUGUGGACCUUGAGGAGAUUUUCUCUCCCUGGCUGCCCAAUUAUCAUUUUUAGAGAGGCAAUGCGAUAAUUGCUGAACGAUGUCACCUGACAUUCCUAGCGGGUGGGAGAGAGCCCUCUCCUGCCCCGCUCAUUGCCUAACUACCUGUAACAGGUGUGUGGGUGAGUGCUCCCUGUGAUGGAACGGUGUCCUGUUCAGGACUGGGUGCCACCUGGCACCUUGAGCUGCCAGGACCGGCUCGGGCUGCUCGCGAUCCCAAACUAGAACAAAUGGGUGGCCACCCUCCUGUUGCCGCUUCACAUGGUCUUUCCUCUGUGCGUGCGCAGCUCUGGUGUCCCUCUCCAUGUCCUAAUCUCUUCUCAAAAGGACACCAGUCAUACCUCACUUUACCUUCGUCACCUCACCUUAUCUCCAAGUACAGUCACAUUCUCAGGUCCUGGGAAUGAGGAUUUCAGCAUGUAAAUUUUGCGGAGACACACGUCAGCUCCUAACAAAAUGUUCAGUUGUCUAGCUCACAGGGAUAUCCACAAGCCAGACCCAGAAAGCCUUUGCUACCAUUGAUGAAGAUGCCAAGUCCACAGCCCAACAGCCAGAAGACCCUUGGUCUAGACUAGUGGCCUUGUGAGAAGAGAGAGCAACACCAGCAAUGCACAUGCAAAGAGGAAAGGCCCUGCAAGGAUGCUAAGAACGAGGACGGCCAUCCGCCCACCAAGGAGAGAAGUAUCAGGAGGAACAAACCGGCCAACACCUUGAUCUUGGACUUCCAGCCUCCAGAACUGUCCGCAGCUUGGGCUACCUUCCAGCAUAAAGUCACUAAAGAUGUGCCGGGCAUGAUGAAGGAAGAAAGCGACUACAUGCUGAAGGAGAUGGUGCGGGGACUCGCUAGUACCUAUUGGCAGGACCUGGGGAACUUUGGUGGGUGCUUGAUAAUGGGGACUGGAAUAAAAACUGGCUAAGCAAAAAUUUAUGGACUUGGAUUCACUUUCUCAGAACACAGUUUAAUACCUUGGCAAGGAUUGCAGCAUAUGGGGCAAACUCCCUGCAGGGUGACCCUUAGAAACCUGGAGAAAAUGUAAAAGCCCUUUCUUGAGGAAUUGUCAUUUCCUAAAUUGUCAUGAAGAAAGGUAGAGAAAGGUAGAAAGAGGAUGAGGAAAGUGGGUACUCUGGAAUGGACACAUUAGGUGAGGACAGAAGAUCUGCCAGAGGUUAAGUAUUAUGACACGCUAUUCACUAAAACCAUUAGACACACCAUUCACCAGCUGGUGAAAAAGGCUACCAGAAUCACUAAAAUUUCAGUGGCUGUUCUAUGCAGGCCAGGGCUGAAGGUAGCAGAGGCCGUCACAGGCUGGACUCACUGACA
rnacentral:lncRNA from 10 species